GGAAAUUAACAAAACUUGUGAUGGUAAAUCCUCAUUUUAGUCUUCUGCUUUCAUAUGGGAAUGCAAUUCUGAAGUUGGAAAGAGCUUUUCUCUUACACGACGUAAUGGGCAAAUGCAUGCUAACCAAGCUUUUUCUUAAUAAAUCUUUCAAAAGAUAAAAAAAAGGGUGAAUGGGUAUACAUAAUGCUCUGGAUUAUGAGUCAAUGUCACUAGAAAUAACUGGAAGGGGAUAUUUAUGAGUUUCAUACCCAAUGCUUGUUCAUGAUAUGACUUACUAUGUACGACUUGCUGAACGAUAGGGGUCUCUUUUGAGCAUCACUUAUAAGUCAAUUUAAUAUUGUCAAUGACUGUCCACUAGAGAAGUGUGAUCAUAUUUUGAUUUUGUUCAUGCUAAAACUUUGUUUAAGCAAUUUCUAGAUAAAAUAAAAUGCAUCAGUCCCAUACGCGUUCAAAGCGGCUUGACCACCACUGUUGCGCAGUCACCUUGUUCAUGUGCAUGCUUGCCAGUCCCCUAAAUAAGAAAAAUCAGAAAAGAUUUAUUGUUACAAGAGGCCAUUUUUUCUUAGUAAAAGUUUUAAGUGGGACUUGGGAUUUGGCUUGUUAUACACAAUAGAUUUUAGUUUUGCCGCAGUAAAUUUUACUUCAUUCAUGGCACUGAAAUUUGUCUUAUGAGGUGUUAUCAUCUAUUGAAUGCUAGUGCAUUUUAUGAAAAGAUUUAAAGCGGCUGCACCAACUCCUUUCCUCCACAAAAGAAUGACCCACCAAAAGGACACAUGUUUUUUGGAGUUGUAUCAAAUGCAUGGAUUCUCUGCUGGUGUUCAUUAAUCUGAAACUAUAGCCUCUUUAGAUGAUAAAAUAAAUAAGGGUUGUAUUUUAAGAUUGAGACUAUGAAAACUACUUUCAGAAAAUGAAUGAACACGUGUAUGUAAUAAAUAAAUCUUAGUGCAGCCAGAAUGGAAAACAUCAAAUAUAUUUGCAGAUGGAAGAAGUAUAAUUUUCAUUUCUUUUUCUAGAAAAGCUUGAUUUGUAUAUAAUUUUGCUUCUUUGUGAUUUUUUUUUGAAAAAUAUGAUUAUUUAAUUAUAUUUGCAGGGUUAUGUGGAUAAGUAUGCCAA
rnacentral:misc_RNA from 1 species